CCCUCCUUUGUUUCUCACUGACUCAAAUCUCCAAUCCCUAAUCCCUUAAACAAAAAAAUCCCCAAUUUCAAAAAUCUCCAAAAUACUGUACCAUCUCUCUCUCUCUCUCUCUCUCUCCUUCCCUCCCUCUCUCUCUCUCUCUCACUUUCACGUCUGCAAGCAGUGACAGUACUGGCAGCAGCAGCAAGGGGGGACGAUGGCGAGCAGCGAGCGACGACUGUGAGCAGCGAGUGACGACAGCUAGCAGCGGUGGUGCGGUGUCUCAGAUACCUUUGCCGAUUCAACCCAUCCUUCCGAUUGAGCUAUUACGGUUUUGCCCCAAAACGAAAACCCGGCAACGCCGACUGAGAAUUUUUAUUGCUUUUGGUGAUGGAGCAUGGGUCGUUCCAGGACCAAACAACAUUGACAUUAUUUUUGGCUGAUGAGGAUCAUACACUAGCAAAUUCAGUCAGAUUCACUCUCAAUCAAAAGUUAAUUAGUUCUCUUCUAAUUCUUUGAUGUUAUAAAUUGCGUAUGUUGUUUCCAAAAUCAUUUGUGCACACCAUGCUAGCUCUGAUUUUUGUGAUUGCCCUAGUUUAUAUGCUCUAUUUCAAAAACAGUUUUUUGUAUUUGAACUGUUGUAUGUGAUCUUCAUGCUAUAAUCAUAUGCUUUUCAAGCUCAGUUUCAUUGUGUGCCUCCUAUAUGGAUAGUUUAAAGGGCCUUUCAUAGCUUUUAUUUCUUCAGUAACAAUUUCAUUUUUUUUUUGUUCCUACUUAGUUUGACAGGAUGAAACCAUAACCAUCUUAUUUCUUUGACUGUCCUUUAGAUCUUCUGUUCACUUUGAGCUUAACAAUAUCAAUGUAGAUCCUGAUUAUUAUUGUACAUCUCAUAAUCUGAUCAAAUUUGAUUACUUUUGUAUUGCGGAUUCAAAGUUAUUGUGACAAUUUAUUAAUGUAAACUUAGAAUAUCUGAAUCUGAAGUUAUUACAAUAAUCUAGUUCUUUUGUUUGUGAUUGACUCUGUGUGAUUUAUUUAGCUACAAAAUUAUUCUACUGCUGAACAUCUCACAAUCUUGUCAAGUUCAAUUAAUUCUAUAUCACCAGAUUCAAAGUUAUUACAGUAAUUUGUUGAUGUAAACGUAGUAUAAAUGAAGUUAUUAUGAUAAUUGCAUUUUUUUUUUGGUUUGUGAUUGAUUCUAUGUGGUUUAUUUGGUAACAAAAUUAUUGUACCCUGUACAUCUCAACCUGAUCGAGCUUAAUUAAGAUUCAAAGUUAUUACGGUAAUCUAGCUUUUUUGUCUGUGAUUGAUUUUGUGUGAUUUAUUUGGAAACAAAAUUAUCCUAUGACUGUACAUCUCACAAUGUGAUCGGGCUUGAUUACUUUGGUAUUGCAGAUUCAAAGUUGUUAUGAUAAUAUGUUGAUGUAAACUUGGUAUAUUUGAAAUUAUUAUAGUGAUUUAUUUUUCUUGUUUGUGAUUAAUUAUAUGCAAUUUAUUUGACAACAAAACUAUCCUACUAUUGUACAUCUCACAACCUAAUCGAGCUUGAUUACUUAUGUAUCACAAAUUCAAAGUUAAUAUUGUAAUCUAUUGAUGUAAACUUAGUAUAUCUGAAGUUAUUACAUUAAUCUAGAUUUUUUGUUUGUGAUUGAUUUUGUGUGAUUUAUUUGGCAACAAAAUUAUCCUACCAUAAAGUAGUGAUUACUUGUUUAUUUUAGAAUUGAUUUCAAAGUAAAUUUUAAACUUCUUAGUAGUUUUCCUUUUGUUUUUCAAUGAUAAGCUUGCAUUGUUAUUAAUGUCAUGGUAACAAUUAUUCUUCUAAGAGUAGAAAUUAUCAAGUAAGUCUGCAGUACCACGUGGCAGCAAGUCUGGAAUGUCAUAUGACCGUAUGCCUUUCUAGCCCAUCUAAUAGUAUUUUGUGAUUUAUCCACUAUAUCUUUUAUAUUUUGGACCUUACUAUUGGUGGACACAAAAUCAACAAGUAUUCUUGGAAGAUAGAAUAAUUACUCGUGAUAGAGAGUGUUUUUGUUUUACCAAUUAAUAUUGGUAGAGGGACCUCUUAGCAAAACUAAUUAGUGCAUAGGUUUCUUAUUAACCUUAGAAAACUGUGUUCCUUAGUCAUAUAGAAAGAAACCAUAAUCACCAUACCAUCACAUAAGAAGACCCUACCUUGAGAGACAAAGGAGAGGCUAUGGAGGGCUCUGUCACACAUCAAGAUUCACUUUCUAGGAAAGCUCUAAGCUCAUGUAUUUAUGUUUCAUGCAUGAAAUCAUGAAUAGGGUUAACCUUGGGUUAUUGUUUUCUUUCAUUGAUGAGCAAUUGGUAAUUGUUGACUUACUAGUUUCUCUAGUUCAUAAACCUUGUGUUUCAUAGAUAAUGAGAAUUACGUGACCUAAAACCAAUGGCGGUAAAUUAAUAUUGACACAAACUAUUUUUUACGAGGGAAAUCUUUAACAUUUUUGAGAUUCACCCUCUACAAUAAGGGGAAAAAAAGAAGCCAAAAUAAGUGACUUCAUCAAGGUAUAAAGGCUCCAAAAACAGCCCGUGGACUCUUUAACAUUUUUGGUGCGUGUGUUUGUGUCUGAACCCUAGUGGAUUAUAGGUGAAUGCUGUAGAACCCUUCAAACUUCUAUUAAGCAAAGAAAGUUUGUUCUUUUCGGCUUUUCUUGUGUUGUGGAAAGCAUUUUAUGUUUAGUGAGUCUGAUGUUUGUUUUUACCUAACUUUUUUGUGUUUUAUGGGCAAUUGAUCCACAUUUUGUUGGGUAUUUUUUGUACCUGGCUUGUCUUUGAUCCAAAAUCGGCUGUGUUAUUGUUUGAAUGCAAUCUAGUUCACUUACUUGGGAAAAAAUAUUCUUCUACUUGUGAUGUCAUAUCUGCAAAUUGUCUUCACUUUUGGACUGCCUAUCAGUCACUUCAAUGAACAUAUAAUGUUAGACUAACCUUUGCAAUUCAUGUAGGCUUUGUAAGCAACAUGUAAUUAAUACUUUUGAGAACAUUUGAAGUGGAACUUUGCUUAGAUUAAGGGUAAAAUUGAAUUUUCUUUGAGGAUAUAGAACGGUUUCUGUGCGGUUUGAUUGAUUUUUGUUGUUAAUUAUUAUUAAUACUCAUAUUUGUGGUAAUUACCUCUUCUUGCUGCAUGUAGUAAAAUGUGUUUUUCAUUAGUGGAUUGGCAGUUUGACACUUCAAAGAUUUUGAAUUAUGAAUAUUACGAAUAUUUCAUAAGUUUGAAUUUUCAUAUGCUUUCUCUGUAAAUAUGUAAGGAAUUUGUGGACUGAUUUAGUAAGUAAUAUAAGUAGAAAUGAAGGUAAAAUUCUCUUUCUUAUUCUUCUUUUAUUAAUUGCAUGACAUUGUAUUCAUGUCAAUGUUUGAGUCAAAUAUUGUUUGCAUCUUUUGUUGAAGGAGAUUUGUAAAAGUUUUUUUAGCCAUGUGUUGGUAUGAAUAUUAUCACCACUAGUGAGAAUAUAGUUACAACAUAAGUGGCCUUGGCUAAAGGGACUAAAGGUAAGUGCCAUCUAUGUUACAAAAGCAACAAAUGGAGACCACUGACCACAAAAGGAAGUCCCCAUUUCCCCCACCUCUUUUCUCUAUGUAUUUGUCUCUCUCAUAAUGUAAUAGAGUUGUGGAAAAUUCAUGAUCACUUGUGAACAUUUGAUGAGAGUAUUUCUAUAUAUGUUUUUUUAAAGGGUGAAAAAUAUUUCAAGUCUUUUUUCCCCCCCAAAGGGCCUAAUUGGUAUCAUUUUCAUUCUUCAAGUUCUUGGAAACAAAAAAAUAGUAGUGUUCGAAAACAAUUAGGAAAACAGUUUCCCAAAAUUGGAAAACAACUUGGUGGUUGUUUCCUAAAGAGUGGGUUGAUUUCAAAAAGCAGUUGUCGGAAACAAUUUGCCAAACAAAUUGUGUGUUUCUAAAAAAUGAAGACAAAAAAUGAAAAAUAUACCAGUGAUGCCCUUAUGUGUCUUUAUUGUAUUUAUUGUUUGUUUGAAAUUUGCCUUUUUCUACUUUUCAGAAAGGAGACAGGCAGAAGCUGCUCGUAUCAGGGAGAAGUAUCCAGAUAGAAUUCCGGUAAUUGUGGAGAAAGCUGAAAGGAGUGACAACCCUGACAUUGAUAAGAAAUGGAUUAACUCAUGUACAAAGCUAAAUUGUACAGGACAAAUUGGCACUUUUUGU